CAAUGCUCAAAAAUGGCUUUAGAAAAGCUUUUUGUUGUUUGGAAGAUCCUCUUGAUAGUUAUCCUUCUCUUGGCUUUUCAGAUUGCUGCAAGGCAAACACCGGGGGUCCGCAGAGUUCUCUUUAGGCCACCUAGUGGAGAUGCACCAUGGGAAGGGGGCCACAAUCCAUGAAGUCGAUCAGAGUUAGGGGUUCACAUGAUAGUACCGAAGACUACUAUAUCGAAAACAAUAAUGCUAGGUAUCAUGAAAACAAUGUCAUGAAAAGUUUUCAUGAAGAUUCUCCACCAUUGGAUUAGAUUAUAGUGUUUGUAGUGUUU